CUGUGAAGUAAAAUGUAACAAGUUUCCGUAGUGUGACCUCGGGAAGGUCAUUUUUAAUAAACCUGGCACGGUUUUGGCCGCUUUUCAAGGGUUUGCGGUUUUUUUUUUUUUUUUCCCCAUUGUACAUUUUUUAAGACCGGAAUUUCGAAAAUUUCUGGGAGUUUAAUUUUCGGAAUGGGAGGGUGGUUCCUGAAUAAAAGUUUUCCUUGUGUUUGGUUUUUCCGGCUCCAAGUCCUUUUUAUUUAAUUCCAUGAAAGUAACCGAAAGGAUCCCCGGGCUUUAAGCCUAUUAACUUUAUACCAAUUUUAGCAAAGGAUUUUUUGGCUUUUGGAUUGGUGAAGAACGCAGGGAAAUUCGAUAAGUAAUGUGAAUUGCCGAAUUCCGUGAAUUCUUGGAUUUUUGAACGCCCCCUGCGCUCCCUGGUAUUUCGAGGGGCCAGCCUGUUUGAGGGUCCUUAAAUUUUCCAUCCCCAUCAGCUUUUGCUUGCAUGGUGGCUUGGAUGUGGGGGUUUCUGCUGGCUCUUUCAUUGAGUCUGCUCCCCUGAAAUGCAUUAGCUGGUGUCUUUGCCAUCUAAUUGGUGUGAUAAUUAUCUAUGCCAUUGGACUGGUCAAUCUAUGAGCACUGCUUCUAACCUGUCUUUAAUGGACAAACUACAAUGACAAUCUGACCUCAAAUCAGGUAGGAUUCCCG
rnacentral:rRNA from 1 species